rnacentral:snoRNA from 1 species
UUUGCAUGAUGAUAACAUAAACAUCAGUUCUGCUUCUGAACAUACAGGAAGAUACCCAAUUUACCAAAGCUCAAAAAUCUGAACG